rnacentral:misc_RNA from 1 species
UCCUUUCUAAGGAGCACCACGAGACCCAGGCCCGCCCACAUGGUGUGGGAUGUCGGUGAUCUGGGCGAUUCGAUGGAUGGGCCGCGCCUGUAGUGGGUGUGGUUCUGGUGCACAACAAACGUGUCGGUGGUGCGGAAACACUGCCGGCGGGAAAUCAUCGGACACACUAUUGGGCUUUGAGGCAACAGGCCCGCUAUCUCUUCGUCCCGCGUGUGGGAAACCGGAGAUGGGAAUUGCUUGCCUCCCUGGUUUGGUGGGGGGGUGUGGUGUUUGAUUUGGGGAUAGGGGUGUGGUGUUUGAUUUGUGGAUAGUGGUUGCAAGCAUAUCAUGCUGCCAAUUUCCGGGCGGCGUGCGCUCCCCCGACGAGUGCAAUCUCG